rnacentral:lncRNA from 1 species
GAAAAGGCACGUAUGUGAUUAUUAAAGCCACUCAUGGCCUACUUUUGACCAAUGAAACAAAAUAGUAGAUAUUUUGGAGCCCAAUUCCCUUUAUUUUUGUAUCUAACACUUGUAUCCCUAACAUGCAACUUUCUUUUAUAUCUUAAUAAUUAAUAAUAACUGACACUUUGUUACCAAUCUUAACAAGAAGAAAUGCAAACAUAUCAGUUGUAUAAGGAAGUCAAAACAGAGGGCCAUGUAACCUAAACUCAAACAUGAAACAUGAACUAACAAAUGAACUUUAAUUACUAAAGUAAAAAUGCGAAGAAAAAUUUACACUACCCAGUUCGAGAUAGACUUAGCAGAAUAGAGUUUCAACCACAUAUGUAAAGAAGAACUGACAAUUUAGCUAACUUCUAACAGAUUUACAUAAUAAUAACACUAAUAUGACAUUCAUCUUGAAACGAAAUCAGAUCUAACAUGUUUCAACAGCCAAACCAAGGUCAAAUCCUUUUUAUUUUCAUCAAGAAUCUGCAAUAUAAAAAUUUAAAAGUUACCUGAUUUGCAGAAUAAUAAAAUACAGUAGUGCAACAAUAGAUUUUCAGCAGCAAAGACAUUAGAAACAACAAUAGGAACAUCAGUGAAAUUAACAGUGUUAAAGAAGCCCAGAGAUCUUAGUAAAACCAGUGAUUUUUCAAGAGAAGGAACUCAGAAUCAAACUCUAAAACUCUUCUAUUUUUCUGAAAGAUUAUGCACUCCAAGACUCACUCACGAAGCUCACAAUUUCAGCUUACUAAGGGAAGCUUCAACCGAAAUUUUUCUCUCAAAGUUAUGUUCUUUUUUCAGUGAGUAGAGAUGUGUAUUCUAAGCCCCCCAGAGUGUGUGGAAAGAACCCUCCUUUAUAGGAGAGAAGGACUCUUGGGACAAAUUUUGUUUAGCUAAAAAUUUGUCCAAUGAACAGUUUUUCCUCACCAAAUCUGGACAUCCUUUUGGAGUAUUAUACUCCAAAAUAGUCCUCAACGGUAAAAGCAACCAAACAAAGGCCCUACACUCAAGUACCCCCUUUUCUUUCCCUUUCCUCUUAAUCCCUCAAACCAAAUUUAAAGCUAUCUAGUCCACAAAGAGAAACCAGAUUCAAUCUAGUUCAAACAACUAGUAAUUCGAACAAGAUCGGUUAAGAGUUAACUAGUAGGAAUCAACAAGACUCAAACAUAUAACUACCUACUAAACAACUACCUCAAACUUAAUCUAGUUAAUUAGGAUUAACACUAAAUCUUUAAACACACAAACUAUUAACUCAAACUAAAACAUGACAAUAGGAAAGACAAACUCGAAACUGCAAUCCAAUACGUGAUUCAAGCCUAAAGAGUGACUAAACAUCAUGGCCGAACUCCAAAUAUACUAACAUAAGCAAACUGAAUUGUUGAUUAUCAGAAUCUAAAUUUUAAGCCUAUGGACCAUCAAAAUCAGAAAUUAAAGAAGCUAGAAUUGACGGAUUUGAGAUUUCAGUUAUAGUCCGGAACUUCAAAAUUUUAGUUGAAGUCCGGAGGCAUAACAAACAUUAAGGCCAACAAACAUGUAUUUCACAUCUAAGUGAUUAAUAUAACUGAUUACUAAACGAAAAAAUAAUGAUAGACUAAACGACUAAACAAACUAAUACAUGAUUCGAAAAGUAUUGAACAACGACUAAUCAUCGACGAUUGUCAAUGAAUCUAACACAAACUAACAAUUAAUUAAAAACUGGAAAUCAAACUAAACCUAAACUCAAAUGGGGAAAAGCAGAAGUUAUGAAAAAGAGGGAAAGGAUUGAAGCAAUGGCCUAAACGAAUGAACAUCAACAGAAUUCUAGAAUCACCAAAAGACGACUAAUCACUAAUUAAGAAAAAAAAGAACUUAAACUAAACUAAAAAUCUAAAAAUCAGUCAACAAAGAAGAACAUAAAACCGAUGAACAAGGGAUUAGGAUUUUACCCAACAAAGGAAUUUGACAUUUAUUAGAGCAAAGAGACGAUGUCGUGAACCUCGAGUAGCGGCUGGCCGACGAUGGAACUCUUAUUUCAUUUCGGUAGACACCAAAUUCAAUGAGCUCCGUGUUAUACCAAAAGGAAACGAGUGUUCUUGGCUCGGAAUUAGGCUAAAAUAGAGGUUUAGUGGUGGGGCUGUGGUGGUCGCGGCAGUGGGGGUGGCUGGACGGUGGUGGUGCGGCUUUUUGGGGGUGAGAUUGGUGAUGUUGUGUCAUGAAAUCAGGUAGAGGAGAGUAAGAGGAGAGCGGGGUGUAAAAAAUUUGGAGUUUGGGGAUGGUGAGCGGCGUCUAGGGUUUCGUUCUAGGCUACAUCUACGGAUUUGGAGAGGGUUUUGAAGGUUUUGGGGUGUAGAAUAGGUAAGAGGAGAGUGAGGAGAGCACGGUGAUGCAAAAUUUGUGGUGUUUGGAUGGCGUCCGACCGGUGGUGGCGAUUUCCGGCCAGCGAAGGUGGGCGGUGGACGGAGAGGGGUAGAGAGAAGAGAGAGUGUGAAGAGAGAGGGAGGAGAAAAGAAUAAGGGGAAAUGGGGUCAAAUUUCAAGCAAUGAGAUGAACGAACGAGAUUGAAU